CCUACGGGAGGCUGCAGUGAGGAAUAUUGGUCAAUGGCCGCAGGGCUGAACCAGCCAAGUCGCGUGAGGGAUGACGGUCCUAUGGAUUGUAAACCUCUUUUGUCAGGGAGCAAAGGGCGCCACGUGUGGCGCUUUGCGAGUACCUGAAGAAAAAGCAUCGGCUAACUCCGUGCCAGCAGCCGCGGUAAUACGGAGGAUGCGAGCGUUAUCCGGAUUUAUUGGGUUUAAAGGGUGCGCAGGCGGAAUGUCAAGUCAGCGGUAAAAUUUCGGGGCUCAACCCCGUCGUGCCGUUGAAACUGGCGUUCUUGAGGGAGCGAGAAGUAUGCGGAAUGCGUGGUGUAGCGGUGAAAUGCAUAGAUAUCACGCAGAACUCCGAUUGCGAAGGCAGCAUACCGGCGCUCAACUGACGCUCAUGCACGAAAGCGUGGGUAUCGAACAGGAUUAGAUACCCCUGUAGUC
rnacentral:rRNA from 1 species